UUUCUUAUGGACCGCCGAGGUGUGUC
rnacentral:miRNA from 1 species